CUGAGCAGGCCGCAGUGCAGGAUGGGAAAUGUAGUCACUGGUGUGCUGUGAUAAGACAGAAUCCAGAAGGUAGUUCACGAAUGAAGAGGGAAUGGAAUCCUCUUUAUCUCUGUAGCAGAAGAUGGUGAUGCAGUACCGUAUGCAGCAGUACCAGUGACAGAGCACGUAUGUGUUUGAAGUUAAACACAUAAACCCCUCUACAGGUUGUCCUGCGGCUUCUUGAUGCCCACAUGGCAAAGCAAGGCAAUGAUGCUAGUGAUGUGAUGCUUCCAGAACAACAUUUAUUCAGGCUGCCGAAAGUAAAGAGAGGUCGUGAGCAGGGAGAAGCCAGGUUGUGAGGAUGCACACCUGGCACUGAUUUGGAGAGAGAGAUAAAGCAGUGGCUGGAAGCGACGGUGGGAGAGAGCGAGAGAGACGCACGUGCACUUUGUGUUUCUGUUAUGUUUGAGUUCUGUUUAUGAUUAAAGUUUAUGUUUAUGUUCAGCCGG